rnacentral:rRNA from 1 species
GCGAACAGACGAGGAGCUUGCUCCUCUGACGUUAGCGGCGGACGGGUGAGUAACACGUGGAUAACCUACCUAUAAGACUGGGAUAACUUCGGGAAACCGGAGCUAAUACCGGAUAAUAUAUUGAACCGCAUGGUUCAAUAGUGAAAGACGGUUUUGCUGUCACUUAUAGAUGGAUCCGCGUCGCAUUAGCUAGUUGGUAAGGUAACGGCUUACCAAGGCAACGAUGCGUAGCCGACCUGAGAGGGUGAUCGGCCACACUGGAACUGAGACACGGUCCAGACUCCUACGGGAGGCAGCAGUAGGGAAUCUUCCGCAAUGGGCGAAAGCCUGACGGAGCAACGCCGCGUGAGUGAUGAAGGUCUUCGGAUCGUAAAACUCUGUUAUUAGGGAAGAACAAAUGUGUAAGUAACUAUGCACGUCUUGACGGUACCUAAUCAGAAAGCCACGGCUAACUACGUGCCAGCAGCCGCGGUAAUACGUAGGUGGCAAGCGUUAUCCGGAAUUAUUGGGCGUAAAGCGCGCGUAGGCGGUUUUUUAAGUCUGAUGUGAAAGCCCACGGCUCAACCGUGGAGGGUCAUUGGAAACUGGAAAACUUGAGUGCAGAAGAGGAAAGUGGAAUUCCAUGUGUAGCGGUGAAAUGCGCAGAGAUAUGGAGGAACACCAGUGGCGAAGGCGACUU